CCUGUAUCUAUACACGACCAGCUAAAGAAGGAGCUGGACAGAAUGACAGCGUUGGGCAUCAUCCGCAAAGUCGAGGAACCAACGGACUGGGUCAACUCGAUGGUCUACGUAAAGAAAAAAACUGAAUUGUGAUUCCAGAAUCAAUGCAUCCAGACAUACUCAAAAGGAUACAUGAAGGACAUCUGGGAGUUGAAAAAUGUAAAAGGAGGGCCAGAGAAGCUGUGUACUGGCCUGGCAUCAACGGUGAUAUUCAGAGAAUGACAUGGGAUUCCGAGGACAGUAGUCAGUGACAAUGGUCCAUGUUACAGCUGCAAAGAGUUCCAGGAAUUUGCGGUACAGUAUGAAUUUCAACAUGUAACAUCCAAUCCAUUGUAUCCCCAGUCAAAUGGUAAAGCAGAAAAAGGAGUUCAAAUUCUCAAACAUCAUCUUAAGAAAGCUGUAGAUGAUAAUGCAGAUUUGUAUCUAGCUUUGUUGAGUUACAGAGCUUCUCCGUUGGAAUGUGGAGCAUCUCCAGCUGAGUUGUUAAUGGGUCAUAAGUUACGGACUACACUUCACUCUCUUUUAAAUGUCAAGACCAUCAAGAGAAUCACAUGAAAAAGAGAAUGGUUGAAAUGUAAGCAAAAGCUCUACUACGACAAAACAGCUAAAGAAUUACUGCCUCUUUUUCAGCAAGAUGUGGUAAGAGAUCAUGAUGGAAAUACAUGGAGCAGAAAAGCAACCGUGUUGGAUGAAAUCAAUUCAAGAUCGUACAAGGUAAAGACAGAAAAUGGUCAAGUGUUCAGAAGGAAUCGGCACAGUUUGUUAAAGACUGCUGAGCCUUUUUCUGAGCAAGAUGAACAUUCUGAACUUGAUCUUUCACAAAAAUCUGAAGGACAUUCUGAAAUUGAUCUUUCACAAAAAUCUGAUGAACAUUCUAAUUUGCCUGUGUUGAGAAGAUCUAGUCGUAUAGUAAAGAAACCUGACAGACUAAAUCUUUGAGUCAAAGAAAUGUGUUUCUGAUAUAUCAGUAUGGUAAACACAUCAGAAUGGUGAAUAAUUCUUUGUGAUAUUCAAGUUUAAAUAUGAUUCAAUGUAAAAACAUGGGCUAAUUGAUUGUCAAAAUGUUGGUAAAGUUUUGAUUAUCCUUUAUGUAAUUCUGUAUUGCUUAUGUAAUGUUAUUACUUGAGUUGUUUUAUUCACUUAAAGAAAAAGGGGGAUGUAAUAAGACAUUAUUGUAAGUACCAAUUUGUACCUCUAGAAAUCAGUGUUGAAAUGAUGCCCCUAUGUUAAGUAUAAAAGUGACAUAGAAGAAGACAGCAAGAGGACACUGUAGCAGGAAAC